AAGGUUGCAAAAUGGCGAGGGGGGAGGUAAGCUGUCUUUGCUUGGCCAUCUUGGGCUAGCAGGCCUUGCAGAGAACUACCUUUUUAGCUGAGUGAAGGGAUCAACCUGAGUUGGAGUUCUCCUAUGCUGUGGCCAGAUCCACUAGAAAUUAACCCAGAAUCUUAGCCUCUCAGUGGCCUAUCGGUGAUGCCACACUCAAUCAGAAACUAUGCUACUGCUGAAGAGGUAUAUUGAGCCCUGCCUGGUUAACCUCCAGUGAGGUUAUUAGAGAAUUGGGAGAGGCUCAAAUCAGCAUCCUGCACCUAGUUAUCAAACCAUUGUGAAGUCUUGAUUCCUGGAUGGCCAGAAAACUUGUCAUUGGUCAAGAGCAACAUUAAGAUCUGCCUGUUACUCAUACUGAUGCUUCCUGCCCAGCAAGUUCAUCAGAGGGCGAGGAUGAAUUACGGUUGCCAUGAAUGUCCUUGUGAGGCAGUUGGGAAGCCUUGGCUGGAUUGUGAAGGAUAUUUGAAAAGUAUUUUAGAGUCCACCAGAUCAUCCAUGUGAGUGACCAUGCAGCAAAAGAAGGAGGGUCCUCUCAGUGAUUAAGGAUUAUGAAGUAUUAAUUCUUCCACUGAUAUCUCAAAAGGUGAUCUGGACAAAGGAACAGGUAUCUCAGCUAGACAGAAGGUACUGGAUAAAAAGAACCCUGAAGCAUGGGAUGAUUUUUUCCCAAUAUUCACUGUGAGAAUCUGUCAGGUAAAACUCGUCUGUGUUUCCCCAUUAUUAGACAUAUCUCCAGAGUUUUUUACUCCCAGACUUGUCCACUCGAAGCCUCCAGUAAUUUCUCAAUUACAGUUCAGGUUUUUCUACCCUGGUACUGGUACAUGUUGAGGUUCUGCUUUGAGGUUUUUGCUCCAGUAAAUUAUGAUUCUCUGUA
rnacentral:lncRNA from 1 species